rnacentral:lncRNA from 1 species
GAGCAAAUACGGCCGAGUGUCAUCAGCACGCCUCAUAAAGUAUCCGGCACUUCCGCAGGCUGCAGUGCUUUACAGGACUUGUGAUGUAGAUCGUCGUCAUUUUUGUUUCACAAACAAGGAAGGAGAAUCUCAGAGAUUCCGUAAACUCCAUAAAGCGGUGAUUCAUGACAGAAGCAGGGACGCAACUUCGACCAGUGUGAGUAACCCACUGGGACUUAUCUGCCACCUUGCUGCCCGGAGAUAAAAAGUAUUCUCAUCUCUAUUACGGCUGCCUUUGUCUACUGUUGUUCAAAGGAUUCAGGCUUGCCCGGGUGUCCUGAGCUAAAAGGAGAAAUGAAUAUAAAUCUGUGCGAGUUGUGUUCUGUCCUGCUUUCUUCCAGUGAAUAGGUUACAGGCGGCAUCUAGUUUGGGGCCAGUCCCCAGCGGCUGCGCAGUGGCUAUUAACUGAUUAGACAUUGUCUAUGCCAUCUCUGAAUGAUUUGUGUCUCUACAAUAGGACCUUUUAUAACAGAGAAGAGAGGGAUUGAUACCCUGGACACUGCCUGGGCUGUGUUUGCCUCUUGGGGCAAAUAAUUUUCCUUGGUACCAGGAGCAGCUCUGAUGUGGCUGCUUUGCCCUUAUGUGGCCCGGGGCUUUCAGCUUGGGAGAAAACGUUCAGCCUGGUCUUGGAUGAAACAAGAAGGUACCAGAGGGGAGCCAGGGCAGCCAUGUUGUUUGUCAGAAGAGAGGACCACAUGUGCCUGUCUCAGGAUGAUUGGCAAGGCAAGAGGAUACCAGUGGGAAAAGGUGAAAGAUUCUUAGAAGCAAUGAGCUACCAAACCAUUACACUGCACAGCACUAGGAAGGAGAAGAGGACUUUCAGUUGAGAAAGACUCUACCAUGAGCUGGAAAAUGGAACUUCUGUGUUGGAUGUUUCCUGUGAGCUCAGAAUUUGGGGUCUGUCAGGUUGAAAGCUACAGGGUGAUACUCAGAGACUGUAAAAGGACUUUAAGUCGUCCCAUUUGACUUGGUGUGUAGCACACUAUCUGAAGCAGGCAUCUUGCUUCUUGAUCAAGAUAGACACAGCAAACCAGUCUUUCUAAAAACCAACCAACCAGAUUUACUUAUUUAACAUGUAUGAGUGUUUUUUUUUUCUGCAUGAAUGUGUGUGCUCCAUGUGUAUGUGUGUUCCGUGUGUGCUCCAUGUGUCUCUGCCCAAGGAGUCAGAAGGGAUUGUCAGCAUCCCUGGAACUGGAGUUGCAGAUGGUUGUGAGCCACCAUGUGUGAGCUGGGAAUCCAACCUGGGUGCUCUGUGCUCUUACCCGCUAAGCCACCCUUUUGGCCCGUAGGGUGGGGCUGAACUUUCCUCAUAGAGUAUAAUUUUUAGAAAAUACAGAUUUUAAAAUUA